AAAAAAAAUAGAGUUAUUGUAUGAUCUAGCAGUCCCACUCCUGGGCAUAUAUUCAGAGAAAAUUAUAAUCUAAAAAGAUACAUGCACCCCUGUGUUCAUAGCAGCACUGUUUAUAAUAGCCAAGACAUGGAAGCAACCUAAGUGUCCAUCCACAGAGGAAUGGAUAAAGAAGAUGUGGUACAUAUAUACAGUGGAAUAUUACUCAGCCAUAAAAAAGAAUGAAAUAAUGCCAUUUGCAGCAACAUGGAUGGACCUAGAGAUUAUCAUACUAAGUGAGGUAAGUCAGAGAAAGACAAAUACUACAUGAUAUCACUUAUGUGUGGAAUCUAAAAUAUGAUACAAGCGAACUUAUUUACAAAACAGAGAUAGACUCACAGAGAGAACAAACAUGGUUACCAAAGGGGAAAGGGGCAGGGAGAGAGAAAUUAGAAGUUCGGGAUUAGCAGAUAUAAACUACUGUAUAUAAAAUAAACAACAAGGUCCUACUGUAUAGCACAGGGAACUAUAUUAAAUAUCUUAUAACCUAUAAUGAAAAAGAAUAUGAAAAGUAAUAUAUAUAUGACUGAAUCACCUUGCUGUACACCGGAAACUAACACAUUGUAAAUCAAGUAUACUUCAACGCCCACCCCACCCCGAACCAUACAGAGGCAUGAACUAAAACCUAAUAAUCCAAUAAAUAAAAUUAAUUUUACUUAAACACUGCCUAUAUAUAUACACAUAUAUGGCAUAUACAGAUAGAUUUUUUUUUUGGCAUCUUUUUAUUUCAGUCCUUAUCGUGUUUCAGAGUUGUCCUCUUAUAUCAGGUAGCUUCAAGAGGCUACACACGAGCCACAUGUUGCAUAGACAGCCAAGGUGGGUAGUGUGCAGUGUGGGUGGUGCAGGAAUUACUGGGGAUUCGACACACUUUUUUGGUUCAUGCAGGCUUCGUGAAGCCUAGACUCUGUAUCAGGUCUUGGAAGUGGGCUUGAUGAGGAUUUUAAUAUGCACUGUUUCUCAUUUCAUCUGAACUGAACUCUCUGGGGUCCGAUGUCCGUGGAGGAAACUGGAUUCAUUUGCCUUAAGCAAAACAUCAUAUUCUUCCUGCUUGGAUAGUGAAACCUGGAGGGAAAGAAGGGCUAACAGGAGGCCAAGGGUGCUUAAAAGUUGCACUUCGAUGAUGCUAUUGAAUUAAAUCCAUCUCUGGGCACCUUAAGCUUCCAGCUGAACUGCAUCAUUUUCUUGCCAGGUCAGAUGAACUCAGAGAACAGACUGGAGUUGGCCACGACUGGGAAGUGUGAAGCCCUGCCCAGCAUGCUCUGAGCCACCUGGAAGAAUACAGCCUGCAGAAGUGGAGACAUCCUGCACAGAGGAGAGCAAGGCCUUAGAAUAUAAUGAAAUAGAUUCCUGAUGACACCAAUUGACCCAGCCAUGCCAGAAGCCAGAAGACUUAUGUUCCAUGGACUAU